GAUGAAGAACGCAGCGAAUUGCGAUAAGUAAUGUGAAUUGCAGAUUUUCAGUGAAUCAUCGAAUCUUUGAACGCACCUUGCGCCCUUUGGCUAUUCCGAAGGGCAUGCCUGUUUGAGUAUCAUGAACACCUCAACUCUUCACGGCUUGCCGUGAUGAGUUUGGACUUUGGGGGUCUUGCUGGCCUACGAGCCAGCUCCUCUCAAAUGUAUUAGCUUGCCGGUGUUUGGUGGCAUCACAGGUGUGAUAACUAUCUACGCUUGUGGUUUUCCACUAGGUAACCUUCAGCAAUGGAGGUUCACCGGAGCUCACAAAUGUCUCUCCUUGCCAAGGACAGAUUUUGACCAUUUGAUCUCAAAUCAGGUAGGACUACCCGCUGAACUUAAGCAUAUCAAUAAGCGGAGGA
rnacentral:misc_RNA from 1 species